rnacentral:tRNA from 1 species
GCCCGGGUGCUGGAAUUGGUAGACAGCCUUGACUUAAAAUCAAGUGAGGAGCAAUCCUCGUGUGGGUUCGACCCCCACCCCGGGCA